rnacentral:rRNA from 1 species
UCGGGGAUGUCCUUAGUGGCGCACGGGUGAGUAACGCGUGGGAAUCUGUCCAGGUGUGGGGAAUAACUACGGGAAACUGUAGCUAAUACCGCAUACGCCCUACGGGGGAAAGGCUUCGGCCGCAUUUGGAUGAGCCCGCGUAAGAUUAGCUUGUUGGUAAGGUAAUGGCUUACCAAGGCUACGAUCAGUAGCUGGUCUGAGAGGAUGAUCAGCCACACUGGGACUGAGACACGGCCCAGACUCC